rnacentral:tRNA from 1 species
GGUCCAUUGGUGUAGUCCGGCCAAUCAUUUUACCCUCUCACGGUAAAGACUCGGGUUCAAAUCCCGGAUGGACCA